UACGUAGGGGGCGAGCGUUGUCCGGAAUCAUUGGGCGUAAAGAGCUCGUAGGCGGUUCAGUAAGUCAGGUGUGAAAGCUCCGAGCUCAACUCGGAGAGGCCACCUGAUACUGCUGUGACUAGAAUCCAGUAGGGGAGUGUGGAACUCCUGGUGUAGCGGUGAAAUGCGUAGAUAUCAGGAGGAACACCGGUGGCGAAGGCGGCCCUCUGGACGGUGACUGACGCUGAGACGCGAAAGCGUGGGGAGCAAACAGG
rnacentral:rRNA from 1 species